rnacentral:rRNA from 1 species
UACAGAGGGGGCGAGCGUUGUUCGGAAUUACUGGGCGUAAAGGGCGCGUAGGCGGCCCGCUAAGUCGAACGUGAAAUCCCCAGGCUCAACCUGGGAACUGCGUCCGAUACUGGCAGGCUUGAAGCCGGGAGAGGGAUGUGGAAUUCCAGGUGUAGCGGUGAAAUGCGUAGAUAUCUGGAGGAACACCGGUGGCGAAGGCGGCAUCCUGGACCGGUAUUGACGCUGAGGCGCGAAAGCUAGGGGAGCAAACGGG